rnacentral:rRNA from 1 species
UACGGAGGGGGCGAGCGUUAUUCGGAAUCAUUGGGCGUAAAGCGCGUGUAGGCGGCCCGGUAAGUCCGCUGUGAAAGUCGGGGGCUCAACCCUCGAAUGCCGGUGGAUACUGUCGGGCUAGAGUGCGGAAGAGGCGAGUGGAAUUCCUGGUGUAGCGGUGAAAUGCGCAGAUAUCAGGAGGAACACCAAUUGCGAAGGCAGCUCGCUGGGACGUAACUGACGCUGAGACGCGAAAGCGUGGGGAGCAAACAGG